UCAUGUAAUAUAUAUAUCAUACAAUGAUGUAUAUGUAUACAUCACUAAUUUUUGCUAUGUAUUUAGUUGCAAUCUAGCUGAUAUGGCUCAUGUAGAAUGUAAGUCCUUUCAUCUGGUUGUAUAGUAGCAACAGUAUUUGUUACCAAAAUAUUUGAGAUUUUUUUUGAGGAUGUAAGGAAUUUUCACACAAAAAAUAUUAUUUAAAAUAUGUGAAUUCGUUCAACGCUUACAUUCCUAAAAAUCUACAGAGUCUUGAAGAUUGGCACAGAACCCAGCCUUUUAGAAAAGCAAUGCAAAGCUGAAGUCAGAUGUGACAGUGUCACAGAAUCAGAGUAAUUGGGGCUGGGAGGGACCUUCACACGUCCUCAGUCCAAUGUACUGCUCAAAGCUGGAACAGCUGGGAGAUCAGAUGGGUCACACGAGGCUGCAUCCCAUUCAGCCCUGAAAGCUUCUAGGAAUGGAGACUGCAUAGCCUCUCUGGGCAGCCUGCUUUAAUACUUGGCUAUGAAUAGUACGCUUUUUUUCCUGUGACACAUGGUAAUUUAUACUUUCUCUCGCUGAUUAAAGGCCUUGGUCAGCAUGGAUAAGACAUCUGGCACCGCAGAAAGGUCAUCUCUUCUGUCAUCAUCUAGCUGUACAAUAAUAAAUUCGGUCUCCCAAUGAUAAUUUUAGAUUUGCAAAUUAGCAGAAGUCUUAUGAUCUAUCUCUCCUGUGCUCUACUGGAGUCGCUGCUAAAAGGAAAGUAAGCAGCAAAGCUCCCCGAAAUGUUUUAAGCCUAAACAGUGGUAAAAUCUAAUGCACAAUGAAUGUCACUUCUGGCUUGUUUCCAAAAUAGCGUUUUUGGAUCGCUUGCUAUAUGCUGGAAAUUAUUUGGUAAGGAUUGGCUGGCGAACAGAUGAAUCAAAGUGACAUUUCCAUUACCAACAGGAGAUCUAUCUGUGGUCAGAAUUCAUGGAGAAGGAUGCGGGAUGGUUGUAAGCCUAUUCAUUAUGUUUAAUAUUGUCAGAGAAAUGAAAUAGCUUCUAUUAUUCAUCUCUCUGGGAUGGUAAUGUAUCUGAAUAUUAAUACAAAAAUGGGAAUCUGAUCAAAACCCACUGACCCAGCAAGACAUUGAUACGUAUUUUAAUCACUCUCUUUGGGACAAUGAAAAAAAAGUACUCUUCACAAUAAAUCUGCAGGAAAUCAAGAUCUUCUGCUUUUCUCAGUGGGAUACUUGGGAACAUCACUGUGUAUUCUGUCCUUGUGUUUGAAGGACCUUCAGGAUUUCCAGAUCUUGUUUCCUUCCAUAGCCCUUCUACUGGUUGGAUGUGUGUUAGACCCCAGUGGGGGUAGGAUUCAUCUCAGUGAAAUAUAUCCCCCUAUAGGAAUGCAUGAACACAAGAAAUGGAAAGAGAUUUCCGGAGGCGGUUUCACCUUGGGAAGCAGGGAUUGUAGGCUCAAUGUGAAAGUUACUGAGGUCAGGUUGUACUGGAUUGUGCAAUGGGAGGUAGGUAUGUAAAUGCAUGAAGAUGACAUAAGGAGAGCAGAAUGGAGGAGGGAUUAAUGGUAAUGAAUGGUACUGCCCGUGCACUGUGACUCGUAUUUCAGGAAAGAUGAUGCUGAUAAUGAAUAUUAAAGAAGCUGACAUUCCCUAGAACUAGUUCUGCUAUAUUUUAAGCCAUAAACCAGAAGGGCUGUUGGACUUUGCAGAAAGCAUUCACAUUAUGCAGGGAUAUUAUUAUUAACAGAACAAAGGGGUAAGCAUGAGGUCAUAAAAUGUAUGAUUUAAUGACUGAAUUUGACUGUAAUUAUGCAUUAGAAAUAUUCAUGAGAAGUCUAAAAAGUGAAUUGGCAGUGCGUGAUCUAACCAUGGUAAGCAGCCCUCCAAAACAGUGUUGCAGGAACUUCGCCAUUUAUCUUCUUUAUUCAUUGAUGCAGACGUAAAUGAGGUUUCUAUACCUUGGUCAUCUCCCAGUGCAGUGCUUCUAGAAGAAUAAAACCCCUUGGGAUUUUGGAUUGCGGAUCUGAUCUGCCACUGGCUCCAGUACAGGUGGAGGUGACAAAGUUUUGGACAGAAGGCUUAUUCAAACUAAGGACCGAGGCCUGUGAAAAUGAAGGAUGUGGAUCUGCCUAUGGAAAGGUCUACAACUGCCAUGAAAUCUUAAGGAGCAAGAGUGCCAACUGUGCUGAUGGCAAAACAAGCUUGAGAGAAGUGCUAUUAUGAGUGUGCCUGUGUGGAGACCACCUGGAGAGCUGUUCUAGCAGGUCUGAUGCAAAGCAGCACCAUCAAUUACUGGGAUUGUGAGCACCUAGCUUCUGUGAGUAUGUGGCUGAGAUGUGCAUCUUAGAAAGCCAGGAGCAACAAAAUGCUGUGAGGUUUCCAGUUAUUAUUGGUGCAGACUUAAUCUUAGAACUCUGCUAAGCAAGUUACUUUCCCAGCUCGCCCCCCUGCUGUAUGAAGAAUCACUUGCUUUCUUUGCAAGGAAAUUGAUGGAGACACAACACAUCUUUCCUGGAGCAGAAGGUUGGAUGUCAGACUGGAGCUCUUCUGCCACGGUGCCACAAUGGCUGACUCUGCAAUGGCUGCAGUUCUAGUGGGACUCAGCACCUCUCCCACAGCCUGACCAGGCCUGGAUGCAUUUCAAAAGCUUCUCCUCAUCCUCCUCAUGUCAAUGGUAGAAGAGGUCAGUGGCUCAUUUAGGUUUACUCAUAUCACUUCAAUUACUUCUUAAUCCUUGCUUUGGGUAGUGCUUGUCCUGCUCCAUGAAGAAUGCACCUCAAUUUGGUUUCCACCCUUUCAGCCCCCCAUCCCUCAUCCUAGGCUCCAGGUCUCCCAUGC